AAGCAAACUAUAAGCACAGCAAAAUUAUUAUCCAAAUGUUGCCUUGUACAUGUGGAACUGGGAUGGGAUGACCAGUUUUAUGAUUUAGAUAUUUGGUGACAUCAAACUUUCAGAGGAAAAUUCCUGCAUCUUCUAAGCCUGGCCACCUUCUUUCUAGAACAAGGUUCAGGAUUAGAGGCCUUCUAAAAAGAGUUGCUUCGGAGCUCACUGUCUUUCAGCCAUGGGAGAAUAUAGCAGGAAGGAAGCAGUCUUCAAGCAAAGAAAAGUGCCCGUGAAAGAAGAGCUGAACCCUGCUAGAAUAUUGAUCUUGGACUUUCCAGCCUCCAGAACUGUACCCUUCCUGUCUUCCCCAGUCAUCCUGGAUACCAAAUAGCCAUGUCUAUGCCCAAGGAUGCCUAUAAAGGAAGAACUCAAAACAGAACUCCAUGGAGCUUCAGAAUCUAAGAGAAAACUUACCCACAAUUCUCAGUUGCUUCGAGAGAACAAUGGACACCCUGCGCCCGGUGGGUCCCAAGCCUGGUCACUCAAUGCUCCUGGGGGUUGCUAGAUGCCCCACUGCAGGUCCCACUUCUGAUACCAUCUGUUGGGGAAUGAUUUGCAAAUUGAGCAGCCACCAGAAUCAGAAUAGGUUCAGAGAGACUCUGUGCUGCCACAUGCUUGGAGGGGAUUUAUGACUAGGAAAAGGAAAGUGAUGUACAGAAAGCAGAAGUGAGGUACAAAAACAACUGGAUUGGUUACAGCUCAGUGUUUGCCUUAUUUGAACCUGGUUGGAACAGUUGGCCACCUUUCAUUGGCUGAAACUAGCUUAUUGGUACAAGAGUACUUUACAGACUGUUUCCAUAUCUAGUUAAGUUACAGUUCACUAUAUACAGAGUAAUGUAAAGGCUGAACUUGAAAUCCAUGAGGACACAGCUUUAGGCUAAACUUAAUUUAACAAGACUAUAAAGUGUUUGCACUAGAAAACAAAGCAUAUUUUGAGUAGCAUUAGGGUAAACAAAUGCCUGCAAAUUUUACAGUAUCUUACAGGAGGAGGUAGGGUACUUACCAGCAGCCCCAGUAGAAGGGGGAAUUUGGUGAAGUAAUUCCCUGGCACUUCUAGCCUAAGAAGCUGAGCUCCCAGAGGAUCCCACAAAAGCCCUUGGAAAGAAAGGGCUUUUUCAGAAAUACAGAACACACCCACCAGAAUGAUAGGAUGAUAGGGUUUGAGAAAUAUAGGAAUCCAUUGCCCAGCUUGAUAUUGAUGUGGGCACACUGUGCCCACACGCAAAGCAAGAGAGUGAGUGAUUCUGGAAACAGCACUCAGUCAAUGACAGACGGACAGUGGUGGAUGAAUACCCAGCUUCUCAUCUGCUCAGCGGCAAAACAGUGAGACAUGUUCUACAGUGCCUCGCUUGGGUAGGUACAUCACACAUCCUCACCCUAAUGUGUCAUGACAAGGACUGAAGUGAAAGCUACACAAUUUAAAUGAUUGGUGAGCAAGAACUAUUCAAGGGCAUAACACAAAAAUAGUUUUGCCUGCUGUAACUGUACACAUGAUUUAAAAGACUUAAGCUUUCAGGACAAACAUUAUAGAGGAUUUUAAUUUCUUCCUAGAUAUACUUUUCAGCCAUAAACUUUAAAUAAACAAACUACUUGUUCGAGGAACCUAAAACCAUUGGCAAAAUGCAUUACAUUUGUGUUUUUUAUAUUUAAUAUAUUUUCUUUAUUAGUUUAUAUAAAAUAUACUACUUCCACUUCUACUUAUAAUUACAUAUCUUGUUAGAGCAACAGUUAAAAAAAAUGUAGUAGAUACAAGUAGUCUCCCCUAGCACCUAAUCAUCAUCCAACAUAUCUACCUUUUUUUUCGUCUCCUGAAAGGUUAUAAUUUUCUCUCUCUUUGCCGCUGCUCAAGGUAUCCCAGUUACAUGCACAAAGUAUAUCUCUAGUGCUUAUGAAUAUUUAAAAAGCCUCUGUGAGCUGAGCUGUGCAAACCCCAAAGCUUUUUGUUGAUAUAAAGUUAAUAUGAGUUUGAAUGAGGAUCUUUGGCCUCCUUUGCAAUAUAUUUAGCCAUGUUACAAUAGUGAUUGUAGGCCGGACACGGUGGCUCACGCCUGUAAUCCCAGCAUUUUGGGAGGCCGAGGCGGGCAGAUCACUUGAGGUCAGGAGUUCCAGACCACCCUGGCCAACAUGGUGAAACUCCGUCUCUACUAAAAAUACAAAAAAUUAGCCGGGUGUGGUGGCGGGCAGCCAUAAUCCCAGCUACUCAGGAGGCUGAGGCAGGAGAAUCGCUUGAACUCGGGAGGCAGAGGUUGCAGUGAGCCAAGAUUGUGCUACUGCACUACAGCUCAGGUGACAGAGCCAGACUUCGUCUCAAAAAAAAAAAAUAAAUAAAAAGUGAGUGUAGUGUCAAAGUGCUAAUACAAAAAAAGAGUAACUUAGCUCUUUUUCCCCUCAUUUUUCCAGUGUCUUUUCAAAUAAUAGUAAUUUGUAUGGCCAGCUUCCCUAGAAAACAAAGCCUGAGCAAAUCUUCAUAAGCCAAGAUGUUUGAGAGGAGCUCAAUCCCAGUGAAGCAGGAGUGAAGGGGAAAUGCAGAAAGGCCGGGAAGGAGGGAGGGUGAACACAGAGAGUGCAUGACUGGAGGACGGGACACAUUUUGGUGACAAGUUGACUGUAUCUUCAAACCGUCUAUCUGAGGCAUGAUGCAAGAGUUAUCUACGGAGGGUACCCACCGCUUCCAGCUCUCAUUGGUCGAGCUCUCACAGGGGGCGGUAACGCCUCCCUUCCUCCAGUGCCAAUCAGAUCCUUCAGAGCCUCCAGUCUUUGCAGCCCUAAGGAAGCUUCCGCACAAGGCAGGAGUCCUGCAGAGCGACUAGCAGGGCGCAUCAGGGAAGGCGCACGCAGGUUGGAGUGGCUGCCAUGAGAAACCAGUGACGGCGCACGACUCUCUGGCCAAAAAGCGAGACUAGCGCCCCAGCCCCGGAUGGUGAACCUACAGACUCCAGCACGGUGCUUGGCAUAGGCCUAUCUCCUGUAUUCAAUGGCACAUUUACAACGCUUGUGAAGUUCAUCUGUUAGUUACAGUGCAUUGGCUCCACUUGGCGUGACCCACUACAGAUGUUCAAACUUUUACGUGUUUUGAGACUAGGAAGAAAUAUGUUAAUUUAUAAUUUAAUUAAAAUCAAUAACUCAUUCUUGAAAAUUAAUCUGAAGAAGUUCCAUGAAUUAGGAGAGGAGAGGAAAUCUAAAUAAUUGACCGUAAGGAAUUAGUUGAGUCAGUGAUGAUGCAUCAACUUAAGGGACUCUUACCUCAUUUUAAAAGGGCGAUUAGUUUAAAAUAUUGCCAUAUGCUUUUGACAUAAUGUUAAAUUUAAAAAGCGGAAGAUGAAGCACCUUCCAAUUGUGAUUCAAAAUUGCAUUGGUCAGGAGAGUCAAAGUCACACCACAGUAAGAAACAAUAUGGUUACAUAAACGGAUACAACACACACUGGGGCCUUUGCAGGUGUAUGGUGGGAGGAGGGAGAGGAUCAGCAAAAACAGCUAAUGGGUACUAGGUUUAAUACCUGAGUGAUAAAAUAGUCUGUACAACAAAUCCCCAUGACACAAGUUUACCUAUCUAGCAAACCUGCACUUGUACCCCUGAACUUAAAAUUAAAAAAAAAAAAAAAAAAAAGAAACAACCAAAAAAAUCCCAGCAGCUUAGGACAACAAGCCUUUGUUUAUUGCACACACACAUGCCAAGUAACCAUAUGACGUGAUAGCUAUGUUCAAUGGCUUCACUAUAGUAACCAUUGUACUAUCUACAGGAAUCCCAUAACCUCAUGUUGUAAACCUCAAAUAUACACAAUAACAUUUAUUUUUAAAAAGAAAAAGGAAGUCUCCUGCGUGUUCGGGAGGUUCUCCCAGACACUGUCCACACACAUUGCCCAUGAUUCUUCCUGUUGGGUUGGAAUCAGGUGGUGAAUGGCACUGCUCCCUUAACCACCAUGCUAUCCAGUCACUAGAAUUUCUGCCUAUUCCUGCGAACACAUGACUGUCCACAAUCAGAUAGCAUCAGACAUGUCAAGGUCAACCAUCAGACAAACCAGCAUUUAGAGGAUAAGCAAAAGAACAGGGGACCCUGCCCUGGAUGAGACUCACAGUGGUGCUGAGGGAUGGAGGGAGUUUCUGCUCAGACAGCACAAGCACAACGGACACCGUAAGUCAGCCUGUCCUUGUCCGCUUCGACCCAGUGUGCUUACUGACACAUACCUGGAGUGCCUGUUCAUGUGCAUAGCCCAUCACCCUGACAGCACAACUACAAUCUUUGGACUCCGUGUCAUAGUUCAUCUUGUGCUGUCAGUUUGGAUCCCGGUGCUAAUGUUACUCAUGAGAGUCCAAGAAGGUUGAGUCCAAGACAAUGGAUGAUAAUCGCCCAACUUACUACAGCACAAACACUUUGUGGAAAUGGGCACUUAACUGAAAAUCUCUUAUUCCAGCAAGAGAGGUCAUAUUUUCCAUUUAUUUUACAACACUUCUUCAGAUCCUAUGUGGAGGUCUGUUUUCCUAGAAAAGAUCAUUUAUUCCAGUCAUUUAGAACUAAAAUUCAAAAUCUGUGCACCCUUGGUUAUUUAAUAUAGAUAACGGGAAAAAAAUCUGAGCAUAUUAUGGGUUAUUAAACACUAAAAUGUGCUUCUGAAAAAAAUUGCAGGAUAUCUUCAUGUGAAAUUCUUUGGUUCCCUAUGGAGCCAGGGAUCCUGACUAGUUGCUUCUUGAGGUGUUUCCCAAACCUGGGAUGCUAUGAUAGGGGCCAUAAAAUCAAUAUGCUGAGUUGAAAAAGAUUAUAUCUCAGCAGCUGGUGAAGAAAGCAAACCUAAAAUAUUUUAGAUAAGCAUUUAUUGUUCACUAAAUAAGUGUGCUGCCUUAGCAAAAGGAAUUACCCAGACUGCAAAACUGCAACAAACUUGGAAAAACCUUUAAAUAUACAGAAUAUUUAAUAUAUCAUUUAAUGUGAAAAAAACGAAGAAAGUCUUUCCUUAAAGGAAAUAUCAAAUUUCUCUAAUCACAUUCUUGUUUAACAACAAGACUAUAGUUUAAAAAAAUUCAAAGGAAUAGCACUAAAUCCAAACUAUAAAAGAAUAUUAAUAUAUAAAUUAAGUGGCACAUAUCAUGCCAUACAGUUUUUUAAAACGACAUAUAGUGUUUUUAGCCUGGGCACAGUGGCUCGCACCUAUAAUUCCAGCACUUUGGGAGGCUGGGGCAGGUAGAUCACAUGAGGUCAGGAGUUUGAGACCAGCCUGGGCAACAUAGCAAGACCUUGUCUCUAUUUUUUAAAUCCAAAAAUAUUAGCCAGGCAUGGUGGUGCACGCCUGUGGUCCCAGUUACUCAGGAGGCUGAGGUGGGAGGAUCACUUGAGCCCAGGAGAUGGAGGCUGCAGUGAGUUAUGACAGUGCCAUUGCACUUCAUCUUGGGCAACAGAGUGAGACCCUGUCUCCAGUAAAUAAAUAAAUAAAUAACAUAUGGUGUUUUUACAUUUCUUUAUAUUCAUAGAUAAAAUAUUCAAGCAAUUAUUUUUAUGUGUGGGUUGUGUUCUAAAAGUCACAAUGUAUUUUUCCUGAAGAACAAUGGUGUUUUUGAGGUCAGACUAUCUUCCAAAAGUUCAUUUAACUCAAAAUAUUAUAGAAAGAUAGUACAUUUGCAAACAAAGUUAAAGUAGACUAAACAAAAGUUAAGUAAUAAAGCAGACUGUCAAAUUAACAUACAAGAAACAGUAGCCUUCAAUACAAAAAAUAAUCAGAAGAUAUAAUGUAUGAGAGAGCCCCAUUUCCAGCAAGAAAAUAAAAUAUAAAAUACUUAAGAAUGAGCUUAACAAGAAAUUUGCAAAACCUCUAUAAGGAAAACUUUAAAAUACUCCUGAAGAAGAUUUCAAUAAACACAAAGACAUCCUUUGCUCUUUGGGAUAGGAUGAUUCAACCCAUCAUUAGUAUAUGAGUUCUUCCUCAGUUGAUUUAGAAACUUAACAUGAUUAAAAAUAAAUAAAUGACAGGCAUUUUAAUGGAGCUAGACCAGUCAAUACUAAAAUCAAUAGGAAAAAAUAAAAUGUUAGAAUAGUUAUGACAACAUUGAAAAAUAAAAACCAUAAGGAAGUGAAAUCCUACCAGAUACGAAAAUAGACUUUGAAGCCUCUAUAACUAAAGCAAUGUGGUUCUGGCACCUGAAUAGACUGACGGGCCAGUGGAAUCAAAUACAGAGUCCAGGAAUUGAUCCAAGAAAAAAUGGGAAUGUAAUGUAUGAUGAUGAUGGUGUCUUACAUUACUGGGGCAAAAAAUUCAAAAUAAGCCAUUUGAGGACAGGGGCAGUAGUUCACAUCUAUAAUUUCAGCACUUUGGGAGCCUUAAGCAGGAGGAACCCUUGAGCCCAGGAGUUCAAGACCAGCCUGGGCAAUGUAACAAGACCUUUCCCCGCCAACAGCCUUCCCCAUCUCUACAAAAAACAAACAAACAAACAAAUUAGUUGGGCAUGGUGGUAUACAACUGUAGUCCUAACAGUUCAGGAGGCUGAGGUAGGAGGAUCGGUUGAGCCCCCAGAGUUCAAGGCUGCAGGGAGCUAUGAUUAUGUUACUGCACACCAGCCUGGGUGACAGAGAGAGAGCCUGACUCUAAAACAAGCAAAAACAAAGACAUUUGAAAAAAAGAUGAAAUUGGAUCCUUAACUUGCACCAUACAAAAUAAGAAAUUCCAACUGACUUGAGAAAUAAUUGUUAAAAAUGAAACCAUGCAAGUACUAGAACACAUGGAAGGGUUCUUCCAUAACCCACCAUGGAUAAGGAAAGGUUCUAUUCAUUUAUCAAAUCUGGAUGUGAUAAAAGAUAAUAACAAUAUAUUUAAUUACAUAAAUAUGUGGUUUUUAUAGCUUAUAUGUAUUCUAUGUUAUGUAUAAUUGUGUUAAAAAAUAAAUGAUAUUCAAAUAUAUAUUUUGCAUUUCAGAAAUAUGUGAUGGCAAACUGGGAGAAAAUAUUUGCAGCAUGUAUGUAGUAGGUGAAAAGCACUGUCUUUUGGUCUUAGGAACCCAGUUAAGGGAUCUACUUGAGAUUUAAGAAGCAAGAAAUGGAAUACCAGGCAAAAACAAUAAAGUUGCACCAAGGUCUAUAUGGGAUUGACAGCAAGACAUUUUAUCUGAGCCCUAGUCAUUGUCCUGUGCAUUCUGAACCAGGUAGGAACUAGAGUCUACAUUUGGAAGGAACUGCAAAUGAGUGCCAAGUGAUCCAGUUGAAAAAUUAGAGACAUCAGCAAUUCCAUGAAGAUGUCACCACCCUAAGUGUCAAUAGAAUCCCUGUUAUAAUAGUAGGAUAUUGACCCAUG
rnacentral:lncRNA from 10 species